UACGUAGGGGGCAAGCGUUGUCCGGAUUUAUUGGGCGUAAAGAGCGUGUAGGCGGCUAGGUAGGUCCGUUGUGAAAACUCGAGGCUCAACCUCGAGACGUCGAUGGAAACCAUCUAGCUAGAGUCCGGAAGAGGAGAGUGGAAUUCCGGGUGUAGCGGUGAAAUGCGCAGAUAUCAGGAAGAACACCCGUGGCGAAGGCGGCUCUCUGGUACGUGACUGACGCUGAGACGCGAAAGCGUGGGGAGCGAACAGG
rnacentral:rRNA from 1 species